CCCAGGUUAAAAAAAUCUGCCUUAAUAUAACUUAAUUAUUAUUGCACACCCUCCGAACACCUCGACGUCACUACCUCACGUCACCCAGUCAUGUGACCGCGCCCAACCAAUCACGUCACGCAGAGCGAAAUUUGUAGCAGCUGCGGCGGAUCUCCUACUCAGAGUUGCGGGGAGAGCCGGUCGACAGCUGCGUGCAGAUCCGACUACUGGGCCGCUGGGAGUUGGUGCCGCUGUCGUGCGUGGUUUAUCAAAGGAACUGGCCAGUGUCUCCUUUUGGAGCCGAAGAUGGCGAGCUACUGAAACCACACCUGGGAGCCAACAACCUCUGUAGCACUACAGCAUCGCAGCCCUACUGGUCUGGUAGGAGGCUGUCACAGCCGCCCCACGCAAUUCUCAUUAAACUGCCACAACUCCACUCACAUCCCUUCCCUUCAAUGGACAAUAUUCAAUGGACAAUUCCCCAUGAACGCUCACUCAGACCCUCGUGGAUUGUUGUGACAGUGUGUAGAUUGUGUGCAUGCAACUUUGGGGAUUCAUUUAUUUUCCCAUUGUGAACCUUUGUAUGUUGUUGUGUUAAAUCCUGAACCAAACUGAGCCAUAUCUAAAGUGCACUUAAGUAAUAUUCUAACCGGUUGCCAUAACUGCAGUUUUGUAUAUAUUUUGGGUUUUUUUAUUUUUUUCCUUACCAUUUGUUGUUGUAAAUAUUUUGGGUUGUCAUAUUCACUUUGAAAUACAAGGUACCUGCACUAAUUAACCGCCUCUGGUGUCCUUAUUAGUUGCUGAUCACCAGCUCCCGCAGCCGCAUCUAGACUUCUGAGCCGAUUCUAGCCCAUAGCCACGGUGCAUUGGUUAGCCCACCUGGCUAAUAUUGACAACUUAUUGAUAUUGGCUAACGAGUGCAACUACCCGCUACACCAUGAUCUGUGAUGCGUCCAUAUAUCAAAUGUCAGGGCUGUACGUUAACUUUUUUAGCCCAUAGCACUUGUGCUAUAGAGGGUGAUAAUUUUGUAGUACAGGCCAGAAAGUUUGUAGCACCUGUCACGAUAACAAAUUUUGCUGGGCGAUUAAUUGCGUCAGAAAUUAUUGCGAUAAGUGAUAAUAUUGCGUAAUAUUGUGCUUUUAAGACCAUUUUUAUUAUCGUUGUAAUUUUGCUAUUUUUAGACCAUUUUUUAAACUUAGAUAAUGAUAAUAAAAGCAUAAUGAUGCAAGUACACCCUUUUAAAGAGAAAUAAACAUUUAUUUAACAAGAAUAUUUACGAAUGCAAAAAAAGAACAUUUAAAUGUCCGAAAUAACACGUAAAAAUAUCUAAAUAAAUAAAUAAAGACCUUUAUAAAUACAAAAAAAUAGACUGUCAGUCUCUCACUCUCAGGUGUGCAGUUAAGUUAGUCGUAUUCGCUCUUUUUGUUGAGAUGGUUUUAGAACAAACCCGGCACACUGGACUUUUUUUAUUAUUGAAGUAUUUAGCAACACAGAGACUUGUGGUCAGUGGGAUGUGAGAAUUCUUAAAAUAACAUCAGAUGUGAAGCCCUGACUGUAUCUGACUGAGCCUUAAUGAAAGAUGUUGUCUUGUAUAUUUUUUCUUCUGAAAAUAUUAACCUUAUAGUCAAGCACUGUUUAUUUAGCCUGUGUAGUUGAGGGGACAGGUCAAACUGAUAUGAUGCUGAUUUACAGGAGAAUUCACGUCAGAUGGAGAAUAAACCAUGAACAUAAACUACAGAUCACCUGUAAAGCAUUUUAAUAAAUUAAUCUAUCAUAAUUAAAAC